rnacentral:tRNA from 2 species
UCUUCCGUAGUAUAGUGGUCAGUAUGUGAGCUUGUCACCCGGACCUGACUCGCUCGAGACCCGGGUUCAAUUCCCGGCGGGAGAG